GAUGAACGCUGGCGGCGUGCCUAAUACAUGCAAGUCGAGCGAACAGAUGAGGAGCUUGCUCCUCUGACGUUAGCGGCGGACGGGUGAGUAACACGUGGAUAACCUACCUAUAAGACUGGGAUAACUUCGGGAAACCGGAGCUAAUACCGGAUAAUAUAUUGAACCGCAUGGUUCAAUAGUGAAAGACGGUUUUGCUGUCACUUAUAGAUGGAUCCGCGCCGCAUUAGCUAGUUGGUAAGGUAACGGCUUACCAAGGCAACGAUGCGUAGCCGACCUGAGAGGGUGAUCGGCCACACUGGAACUGAGACACGGUCCAGACUCCUACGGGAGGCAGCAGUAGGGAAUAUUCCGCAAAGGGCGAAAGCCUGACGGAGCAACGCCGCGUGAGUGAUGAAGGUCUUCAGAUCGUAAAACUCUGUUAUUAGGGAAGAACAAAUGUGUAAGUAACUAUGCACGUCUUGACGGUACCUAAUCAGAAAGCCACGGCUAACUACGUG
rnacentral:rRNA from 1 species